AUGGUGGCGUUGCUGUAGCUGUUUUUUGUUCGCGAAUAUUUCUGUUUUGUGUUCGUCGAAAACAAGAACUUUUAAAAUUAGAACUUAAUCGUGUGCAAGUGCUUUUGUUAAUAAAAGUUAAUUAAUCUUUAAAACAAGUGCUAAAACGUUGCGUAAGAGGGAAAUCAUCACCGGUGCUUCACAAAAAAUCGCUGGCAUCAGCGUUUUGGGAGGAAGAUCAAUAGUUCCAUUCGUUUUAUGGGAUUGAUAAAACCUGACGAUCCCACAAUACCAGUUCCUAAAAGCCUUGAAGACCUUUGGAAGCUUAUGAAUUGCGGAAGUUGAUAAAUCCAUCAAAGUCCUUCCGUCAUCCUACAUCCUGUCCAUUUCCAAGCAGUGAACUACCAAAUCAAACUGAUCAUAUCUUUAGAAAAAUUAGGCUGCAGACAAAUAAGGCAUAUUUGUAAUCACUCUAAUAUAUGAUCAUUAUUAUCAUAUCAGCCGAUGGACCGUCUACUGCAGUUUGGACAUCCAAACAUCACGAUCCUGAGCCGCAUGCAUUCCUUGCAUUUCUGAUAUCUGAUAAGAAAUCUAAAACUAAGGAUAUUAUUAAUAAUUAUUCAGACACUAAAAAUAAUUUAAGUUCGCACAUCGUGGACGUUGGGGUCCCAAGAUGCUGGAAUGGCGACUCCGCACCGGAAAGCGCAUUGUUGGUCGACCCCCCACUAGAUGGACCAAGGACAUCAAGCGGGCUGCAGGAAGCCGCUUGAUGCUGACGGCUCGAGACCGUGAUGUUUGGAAGUCUAUACAAAGAGGCCAUGAAUAUGUGUCCAGCAGUGGACGCCCAUCGGCUGAUGAUGAUGAUGAUGAUGACACUAAAAUAACUUUGUAUCAAAGUAUAAUAUUAACAGUAUGUAAUUCAAUUAAAGCAGUUCACGGUUAAAACUCACGUAACUUUAUUGACUUGUAACCUAAUAUCGCUGACGACAGUUUAAAAUCUGAAGUUCGUGUUACAUAAAGUAAAUAUAAUGUAGGUAUAUUACCUGAUAUUGUCACAAAGUUAGCGUUGCCAUGACGACAGGCUGCCAUACUUUAGUCGAGAGGCGGAACGUUAUGCCUCACUUGGUUCAGGUCGGGGAGGAAUAUUUACUGCCUUGCCUUAGUCGCGAUAAAGUAUACUUACUUUGUAACGUUUUUUAUCCACUCAGUGUUUGUUCCG